ACGCUGGCGGCGUGCCUAAUACAUGCAAGUAGGACGCUGAAGAGAGGAGCUUGCUCUUCUUGAAUGAGUUGCGAACGGGUGAGUAACGCGUAGGUAACCUGCCUUGUAGCGGGGGAUAACUAUUGGAAACGAUAGCUAAUACCGCAUAACAAUGGGUGACACAUGUCAUUUAUUUGAAAGGGGCAAUUGCUCCACUACAAGAUGGACCUGCGUUGUAUUAGCUAGUAGGUGAGGUAACGGCUCACCUAGGCGACGAUACAUAGCCGACCUGAGAGGGUGAUCGGCCACACUGGGACUGAGACACGGCCCAGACUCCUACGGGAGGCAGCAGUAGGGAAUCUUCGGCAAUGGGGGCAACCCUGACCGAGCAACGCCGCGUGAGUGAAGAAGGUUUUCGGAUCGUAAAGCUCUGUUGUAAGUCAAGAAUGAGUGUGAGAGUGGAAAGUUCACACUGUGACGGUAGCUUACCAGAAAGGGACGGCUAACUACGUGCCAGCAGCCGCGGUAAUACGUAGGUCCCGAGCGUUGUCCGGAUUUAUUGGGCGUAAAGCGAGCGCAGGCGGUUUGAUAAGUCUGAAGUUAAAGGCUGUGGCUCAACCAUAGUUCGCUUUGGAAACUGUCAAACUUGAGUGCAGAAGGGGAGAGUGGAAUUCCAUGUGUAGCGGUGAAAUGCGUAGAUAUAUGGAGGAACACCGGUGGCGAAAGCGGCUCUCUGGUCUGUAACUGACGCUGAGGCUCGAAAGCGUGGGGAGCGAACAGGAUUAGAUACCCUGGUAGUCCACGCCGUAAACGAUGAGUGCUAGGUGUUGGAUCCUUUCCGGGAUUCAGUGCCGCAGCUAACGCAUUAAGCACUCCGCCUGGGGAGUACGACCGCAAGGUUGAAACUCAAAGGAAUUGACGGG
rnacentral:rRNA from 1 species